AAUUUUAUAAAAUUGAAUGUGUGUAUUGAAUCAAGUUUUGUAUUAGAUUUUAUGAAUAAUGAAUGGGCCAUUUGUGAUUGAAAUGAAGGCUAUUGAAUUGUCUUGUAUUGGAUUUUAUUUAAGGAAAUGGUUUAGUGUGUAUUGAAUAGGAUGAUGUUAUGGUUUAUGGGAUAAUGCUUAAAUGUGUGAAUGGAAUUGAAAAAUAUUGGGAUUAGUGGUGAUGGAUUUGCAUGUAUGUUGAAG
rnacentral:lncRNA from 1 species